CCUACGGGGUGCAGCAGUGGGGAAUAUUGGACAAUGGGCGAAAGCCUGAUCCAGCCAUGCCGCGUGUGUGAAGAAGGCCUUCGGGUUGUAAAGCACUUUCAGUGGGGAAGAAAGCCUUGGGGCUAAUACCCUCGAGGAAGGACAUCACCCACAGAAGAAGCACCGGCUAACUCCGUGCCAGCAGCCGCGGUAAUACGGAGGGUGCGAGCGUUAAUCGGAAUUACUGGGCGUAAAGCGCGCGUAGGCGGUCUGAUAAGCCGGUUGUGAAAGCCCCGGGCUCAACCUGGGAACGGCAUCCGGAACUGUCAGGCUAGAGUGCAGGAGAGGAAGGUAGAAUUCCCGGUGUAGCGGUGAAAUGCGUAGAGAUCGGGAGGAAUACCAGUGGCGAAGGCGGCCUUCUGGACUGACACUGACGCUGAGGUGCGAAAGCGUGGGUAGCAAACAGGAUUAGAUACCCCAGUAGUC
rnacentral:rRNA from 1 species